rnacentral:rRNA from 1 species
AGAGUUUGAUCCUGGCUCAGAUUGAACGCUGGCGGCAGGCCUAACACAUGCAAGUCGAACGGUAACAGGAAGAAGCUUGCUUCUUUGCUGACGAGUGGCGGACGGGUGAGUAAUGUCUGGGAAACUGCCUGAUGGAGGGGGAUAACUACUGGAAACGGUAGCUAAUACCGCAUAACGUCGCAAGACCAAAGAGGGGGACCUUCGGGCCUCUUGCCAUCGGAUGUGCCCAGAUGGGAUUAGCUUGUUGGUGGGGUAACGGCUCACCAAGGCGACGAUCCCUAGCUGGUCUGAGAGGAUGACCAGCCACACUGGAACUGAGACACGGUCCAGACUCCUACGGGAGGCAGCAGUGGGGAAUAUUGCACAAUGGGCGCAAGCCUGAUGCAGCCAUGCCGCGUGUAUGAAGAAGGCCUUCGGGUUGUAAAGUACUUUCAGCGGGGAGGAAGGGAGUAAAGUUAAUACCUUUGCUCAUUGACGUUACCCGCAGAAGAAGCACCGGCUAACUCCGUGCC